UACGGAAAGCGGGAGGCAGAAAAACAAAUCAGCGUGUGCUGCGUAAAUUUGGGGAAGCAAGUCGAAAAUGUUUGAUUAAAAUAUGAAGUUUGUGGCUUGUAAGUAAUGUCCGGAUUUAUUGUAGACAUCUUUGAAGACCACUCAGGAAAACUAAUCCCGCUGUCAUCACCGACCAGAACUGGCAGAAAAGUUAGCUGUGUAACUUAGCAUCAAAGCUAAAAACAUCUGUAGCUAUCUCAGCUGCUUCUUUACCGCUGAUCAGAGUUUCUUCACUUUAUAGCAUACAAUUGAAGCCGAUUUUGCAUCUCUACAUCGGUCUUGUGUCUGUACGAGUACUUAAACAUGUAAGACGAUGGUGGUCCUGAGAGAAGGGAUGUGUCCUGGGCUGGAUGAGGGUUUGGUGAAGGACCUGCGUGCUGCUGAUAUUAAGACAGUGGAGGAUCUAGUCUCAUCCGACAUUGAGGAACUGGCUCAGAGAUGCUCCGUGUCGUACAAGGCUCUGUUUGCCAUCCGUCGAGUGCUGCUGGCCCAGCACACAGCCUUCCCCGUGUCAGGAGCUGAUCUGUAUGAAGAACUAUUGAGCUCAACAGCCAUCCUCUCCACCGGAAAUCCCAGCUUAGAUAAACUGCUGGAUUCGGGCUUGUAUACUGGGGAGAUAACAGAGCUGUCAGGAGGCCCAGGAAGUGGAAAAUCUCAGGUGUGUUUUGGUGUUGCUGCGCACAUUUCCUACCACCUGAAGCAGAGUGUGAUAUUCAUCGAUACAACAGGAGGGUUCACUGCCAGUCGCUUGCUUCAGAUGCUACAAACUGAGACGAGUAACACAGAGGAGCAGAUGGAAGCUCUUCAGAGGAUCCACGUCUUUCGUUUGUUUGACGUCCACGCUCUGCUCGACUGUCUGUACGGUCUGCGCGGCGGCGGGCUUCAGCAGAAGUCCGUCGGCGGUGGAUCUGUCAAGGCGGUGAUCGUGGACUCGGUGUCAGCUGUUAUCUCUCCUCUACUGGGAGGCAAACAGAAUGAAGGCAUGUCCUUGAUGAUACAAGUGGCAGGGGUUCUGAAGACGAUGGCAAAGGACUUCAACAUCGCUGCUUUGGUUACAAACUAUGUUACGAGAAGCUUCAGUGGGGACGUGCAGCCGGGCCUCGGCGUGUCCUGGAGUCACAUCCCCAGAACCAGACUUCUGCUGGAGCGGGUGGAGAAGGGGGUUGGUGUGUUCAACCCCUCCAGUCUUCGCUCUGCAACACUGAUCAAGUCUUCCAGACAGCCUUGUCACAUCAAAGAAGAGUUCGACUUGCAGUGGUGGAGUCGCUCUAAAGGCUCAACGUCCUCAGGAAAGAGGAAACUAGAUGAGAUGGAUUCCUGAUGACACAAACUCUAAUCCUCUGCCCGAACUUGUCAUCAAAGGUGUGUGGAUGGAGGAACGACGCGCCUCUUGCGAAUACACUCCCAGAUCCAGCUGGGUGAGACUCUCUGAGCCUGGCUGUCCUCGUCAGGUUCCGCCAGCGUGUGUGUGGCUGAGGCGACAUCGUAGUCUGCGACCAGGUCUCCGUCAUACGCCACAAAGUACCGCCUCAGUUUGUCAAAGUCCUGCACUGAGCCGGGGAGGAAGAGCUUCACCCCGCUGAAGAUGUCCAGCAGGGUCUACGGGAGAAAUACACACAGUUAGCGAAACAAGGACCAGGAUAAUGUUUUAUCAUUUCAAACCAGAGCCGGACGAGCGAGCUGAAACGAGGUUAAGGACAAUUUGGGUUUUAGUGUCUUUUUAUGAAUUCACCUUGAUUAAACCAACUUCAACCUGGGAUCUUUACAUUUACCAACACAAACUCUGAAGAUAAGGUGAUAUGUGAACAAACUGGAGGCAUGUAUUAUAAAGUACAUUCAACAUAGCUAGCUUUGUUUUCUUUAUGUAGCUUGAUUAAGCCCAACCAAAGGAAUAAAACCACACCAGUACAUGAUGCUGAAUCUGAACUGGGUUAACCAGCCAGCAGUGUUAGCAACAUGUGAGCAAUUACAAACAUGCAAAAGUCUGAUGGCUGCAGAGGCAUACUUUUACAAAGUCAAGCAUCAUUUGCAUAAUGAAGGAUUUCUUGCAUUAACCCCCAAAGUCUGAAAUCAUACGACUGAACUUCAACCUUGUUCUUAACAUGUCCCAAAAAAGUACCUUCUUCCUGGGUCAGACUUAUUUGAUUAAUAACACCAGAUCAGAAGCUCCCUGCUUCUAGUUGUAUUAAUGAUCUAUGAAACUGUUGGAAACAAGAUCCAGGCUGUAAGGUGGAGUCAUUUCCUUUAGCUGGUGAAUGAAUGAUUUUUGGGCAUUUUUGCCUUUAUCAGACAGCUGAUGAGAGACAGGACAUGUGGGGAGUAGAGAGUGGGGGGAAAGACAUGCAGUACAUGGUUGAGACUGGAAUUGAACCUGCGACCUCUGCAACAAGGGCUAUACCCUGUGUAUAAGGGGUGCACACUUAGACCGCUAGGCCAAGGGUGCACCAAUGAAUGUUUUUUAAAUGGCUGUACAGUUAAAGAACCGAUACACCCAAUGAAAGGCUGGAUUUAAUACUUGACAAUAGGAAAUAUUGGCUGGAUCACCAUGAGUCUUGUUCUUGUUAUGCACUUGUUCCUUAAAGUUAAACAUGGAGCCCUCUUGUUGACCCUCCUGUUGACCCACCUUGUCGUUCCUGGGCUCCAGCAGUUGCGAGGCUGCCUUGGUUUUGGUUUGUCCGUUACUUUGAACACUUUCACUCUUCUUCACCUGGAGGGACACAGAGUUUGUUCAGCAUGUGUGCAUGAAGUUCAGGCUGUGCGGCACAAUCAUCGAUCUACCUGACAGUAUGACUGUGCUGAAGCGAGGUAACAUCAGUUAUGUGAACAUACUGCAGGCUGUGAACACACCUUCUUGGCGCUGGGUGCGUCUGAGCCUGGAGUGCGAGGCUCCGAUUUGAUGGCCUUUGUUUUGGGUGUGCUGCUGCCGCCUGGAAAGGAACAGCGUGUUAUCAAUAUCAACACAGGAGUAAUAUUAGCAGCAUGCAGUGACAUCAGCCAGGGGAACUGAUGUCUGUUAAAGGUUGAUUUCACCAACCUUUUCCUUCCUGAUGGUCAAAUGGAACUUUUGUUGUAACCAAAAUAAAUGACAGAAAACACAAA